rnacentral:rRNA from 1 species
GGGGAAUUUUCCGCAAUGGGCGCAAGCCUGACGGAGCAAGACCGCGUGCGGGAGGACGGCCUAUUGGUUGUAAACCGCUUUUGAUAGGGAAGAAGCUCUGACGGUACCUAUCGAAUCAGCAUCGGCUAACUCCGUGCCAGCAGCCGCGGUAAUACGGAGGAUGCAAGCGUUAUCCGGAAUUAUUGGGCGUAAAGCGUCCGUAGGUGGUUGUUCAAGUCUGCUGUUAAAGCGUGCGGCUUAACCGCAUACCAGCAGUGGAAACUGGGCGACUAGAGUGCGGUAGGGGUCAGGGGAAUUCCCAGUGUAGCGGUGAAAUGCGUAGAUAUUGGGAAGAACACCGGUGGCGAAAGCGCCUGACUGGACCUGCACUGACACUGAGGGACGAAAGCUAGGGGAGCGAAAGGGAUUAGAUACCCCAGUAGUC